GUGUGUUUUCUGUCCACCGUUGGCGCUUUGACACUCGUGCGUUCAGGCGUCGGAGACACACACACAUAAGCUGUGCACACACAAAGAAAGGCUCGUUAUGUCGGAUGAAGAUUCGCGUUCCAGCACCAACUCUUCCUCCUCUUCAUCGUCAACACAUCAUCAGGACUCAAACACACCGAAGAAACGAGAAAGCAAAGCCAGCAUGAACAAGUCCUCCAAACUCCUCUGCACCAGUGCCAAGAGAAUCCAGAAGGAGUUGGCUGACAUUACAUUGGAUCCACCACCAAACUGCAGGUGGGUGU